CACGAUGAACGCUUAGAGGCAGGCCUAACACAUGCAAGCCGAGGGGUAAGUCUCUUUCGGGAGAACACGACCGGCGCACGGGUGAGUAACGCGUAUGCAACCUACCUUUGGCACGGGGACAGCCCGGGGAAACCCGGAUUAAUACCCGGUAUAGUCUAUUAUACACCUGUAUAAAAGACGAGAGCUACGGCGGCCAAAGAUGGGCAUGCGUGCCAUUAGUUAGUUGGUAGGGUAACGGCCUACCAAGGCAUCGAUGGCUACGGGGUCUAAAAGGAUGAGCCCGCACACUGGUACUGAGACACGGACCAGACUCCUACGGGAGGCAGCAGUGAGGAAUAUUGGUCAAUGGGUGGAAGCCUGAACCAGCCAUGCCGCGUGCAGGAAGACGGCCUUAUGGGUUGUAAACUGCUUUUCUACGGGACGAACGGCUCUGACGUGUCAGAGAUUGACGGUACCGUAGGAAUAAGCAUCGGCUAACUCCGUGCCAGCAGCCGCGGUAAUACGGAGGAUGCGAGCGUUAUCCGGAUUUAUUAGGUUUAAAGGGUGCGUAGGCUGGGCAAUAAGUCAGUGGUGAAAGUCCGCGGCUCAACCGUGGGAUUGCCAUUGAAACUGUUGUUCUUGAGUACAGUCGAGGUAGGCGGAAUGUGUAAUGUAGCGGUGAAAUGCAUAGAUAUUACCCAGAACACCGAUUGCGUAGGCAGCUUACCAGCCUGGAACUGACGCUGAUGCACGAAAGCGUGGGGAGCGAACAGGAUUAGAUACCCUGGUAGUCCACGCCGUAAACGAUGAUCACUCGCUGUUGGCAAUAUAGAGUCAGCGGCUGAGCGAAAGCAUUAAGUGAUCCACCUGGGGAGUACGUCGGCAA
rnacentral:rRNA from 1 species